rnacentral:tRNA from 1 species
AGAGGGCUAGUCCAAAUAAAGACCUCUGAUUUCGGCUCAGAAAAUUAUGGCUAGACCCAUAGUCCCCUU